rnacentral:rRNA from 1 species
AUUGAACGCUGGCGGCAGGCCUAACACAUGCAAGUCGAGCGGAUGAAGGGAGCUUGCUCCUGGAUUCAGCGGCGGACGGGUGAGUAAUGCCUAGGAAUCUGCCUGGUAGUGGGGGAUAACGUCCAGAAACGGGCGCUAAUACCGCAUACGUCCUGAGGGAGAAAGUGGGGGAUCUUCGGACCUCACGCUAUCAGAUGAGCCUAGGUCGGAUUAGCUAGUUGGUGGGGUAAAGGCCUACCAAGGCGACGAUCCGUAACUGGUCUGAGGGGAUGAUCAGUCACACUGGAACUGAGACACGGUCCAGACUCCUACGGGAGGCAGCAGUGGGGAAUAUUGGACAAUGGGCGAAAGCCUGAUCCAGCCAUGCCGCGUGUGUGAAGAAGGUCUUCGGAUUGUAAAGCACUUUAAGUUGGGAGGAAGGGCAGUAAGUUAAUACCUUGCUGUUUUGACGUUACCAACAGAAUAAGCACCGGCUAACUUCGUG